rnacentral:lncRNA from 1 species
GAAUAUGGUUACCGUAUAAUUCAUCCCUUUUGACCCCUAUGUUUAGGAUGACUCAGGGUUAAACUGUCAACCCUGAUGAGAUCAUCCGAAUCAUGCUCAACUCAAUUAGUCCUGUGACUCCUCACUAGGACUACCCUGGCCAAGGUUUUGCUAAAUUGAAAUACGACUGUACCCAGCUCCUAAACUGGAGUGGUCAAUCCCAUCUUGACACACGCACCGACAAGUCAAGUACUUGACUACACCCAGCAGCCUUCCGUCACUGAAUUAGAAAUUCAGGUAGUCCAGUGUCUAAGUGCAGUGAGUUGCUUGCAAGUCACCGUGGCGGUCUCAGGUCGGAGAGACAU